AGAAGAACAGAAAGGCAGAGAGAGCUAUUAACACACACAAAAUGGUGGAGAAACUCAACAGGUCAGGCAGCAUCCAUACAGCAGUAUAAACAGACAGGCACAAGGAUGUAAGAAAAAGGAGGGUUAUGGGUGGUGCAGGAUGGAAGAGUGUGAUUGAUAGUGGAGUAGGUUUACAUAGGUUGCAUAACAUUGUGGGCUGAAGAGCCAAUAUCACGCUGCACUGUUUUAUGUUCAAUGCUCUACUUUUCUGUCAGAUCACCCUUCAUUAUUCUGAAGUUCAGGUCCAGUCUGCUUAAUGUCUCUUCCUACGGCAAGCUGCGCUUCACAGGAAUCAUUCGAUGAACACUAUCACCUCUCAAUAUCUCAUUAACUUCUCCAGUUCUAGUUUAUUUUUUCAUUAAUGCUAAUUUCUUUGAGCUUCUCAUUUACUCUCUAUCUGUAAUCUCUCUGUUUCUUGGUUUUCCUCCUCUGUAAAGGCCAAUGCAAUAUAUUUCUAUGAAAAGCAAAUAAAUGUAGAUCCUGCAAAUCAGAAAUUAAAAAAACAGAAAAUGCUCCAGUUUCUUAGCAUAUCACCUAAUCCAGAGUGUAAAUGUAUCAUUUAUUCUCUCUCCCUCGUCUUCCCUCUCCCUCUCUCUGUUUGUUUAAUCUCUCUGCCAUUUCCUUUCCUUAUUCCCAAUAUAAUUUCUCCUAUCUCUGUAGGGAACUCACAUUAACAUUUGUUUAUAAUUUUCUUUUCAUAUCUUUAGAAACUCAAAUUCUAUGCUUCAGUUAGCCUGGGCUCAUUUUCUGCUUUCUUUUUCCUUAUUAAUACCUUGGGUCUUCGUUGCUGAAUUCUAAAAGUUUCCCAGUCCUCAGCCUUACUGUUUUUUUGGCAACAUUGUAAGCCUUUUCCUUUAAUUUAAUGUUUAUCCUCCUGAUAGCUAUGGUUUGACCACUUUUCCUAAUUGACACCAUAGUUUAUAGGACCAGAUUUAAUAAUUGUAAUUGAUUGGUUCAAAAGAGCACAUUGCAAAUUUUUUGUAAGCUGCUAACACAUAAUUUAUGCAUUGGAAUGAUGAGAUAAGGCAGAGAACAGCCAUUUGUGAAAGCAACCUUAUGCAGUCUGAUAGAGAGGGAUAUAGUUUAUGCAGAAGCAAACAUGCAACUCCACAAAAUCUAAAAAAAUAAAUCAUCCAUAAUAUCACUAAAUAAUCAGAUGUUAAAUGAGAAUCUCAAGCUCCAAUGCUGAACCAGUUAAACUUUUCUGGAAUUUCCAUCGUUUCCACUGGCAUGCUAAAAAUAAAGUCCUGAUUAAUAUCCAAUGACUUGGCCAAGAGACCAUACAACUGAAUUAAUGCAAGCUGUUUACAAAAUGGGAACCAUUUUAUAACUCAGUCCAUUUAAUUAAUUUGCUGUUGCUAAAUUCACACUAAUAUUUUCAUGAAUCCCAAUAAAUCGUAUACAGUGAGAUAUCAAAUGUUUAUAUUAUUUAUGGUUUUGCUACAAAUACACACAAAGAAAUUAAAUCACUUCUAUUAUUUCCUUCAUUCAUAGAGACAUUUUAUUGAACUUCUUAAACCUCACUUACUUGUCCUUCACCUCUAGUAACAAAGGAGUCUGUGGUCUUCUUUGUUACUACUGUAAUUCUAGGGCCAUCCAAUUGGUUUUCCAGCCACUUCACUUUGUCUCUCCUCACCUCCCAGUCUUCUCCCUAAUGUACAAUGCUGCCACAUAACCCUGCCAUAAAUUUCAGUUUUUCUUUAGUUUAAUCCCUGUGUCCCCUCAUGCCUUCUACAAUAUGCACCUUGGCAUGGUUUUUAUUUGAUAAUCCUUAAGACAUUGUAGAUAUUAAAGUUGGUAGUGCUGUUGCUCUGGGAUCCUGGGUGUAAAAUUAACUACUCCAUUUCCAAUGGAAAGUCAACCAGGAAUGUAAGCAAUACUAAAGAGGUGAUGGGAGCAAUUUUUAAAUCAUUUCCAUUGAUGGAUAUCUCCAUUAGAAUUUUUGAUUUGUGUUCCUGAUGUCAAGAUGGACUUUACAAGUCCAGUAUUUUUUGGCUGUUUGCCAUUCUUUGAUUGUGUAUGUUUUUUUUCCCCCAUAGAUUCAAUUCUACUUUAUUAUUCCUAUAACUGUCUGCAAGAAAAUGAUUCUGAUGGCAGUAUAUGGAGCCAAGACUGCAGACUCAGAGGUGGCCCGUCCUGAGGUUGGGGGCCAGCUUAUGUAUUGAAUUGUGAAAUGGGCUUCUUUUGCUGAACAUUGUGGGCAUGCUAUAUUGGCACCAGAAAGUGUGGCGACACUUUCAGGCUGCUCCCUGCUCAUUCUUAGGUGUGGUUUUUUUGUUAAUGUAAAUUACACAUUUCAUUGUAUGUUUCAUUGUCCAUGUGAUAAGUGAAUCAGAAUCUGAAACAACUUAAAAUUUGUCAAAUUUCAUAUCAUAUUCUGGUGAUAUUAAACCUGAUUCUGAUUUAUUA